rnacentral:rRNA from 1 species
GAGGGGUCCGCGCCUGAUUAGCUAGUUGGUGAGGUAACGGCUCACCAAGGCUGUGAUCAGUAGCCGUCCUGAGAGGGAGCACGGCCACACUGGAACUGAGACACGGUCCAGACUCCUACGGGAGGCAGCAGUGGGGAAUUUUUGGCAAUGGGCGCAAGCCUGACCAAGCAACGCCGCGUGGGUGAUGAAGUAUCUUGGUACGUAAAACCCUUUCGGCAGGAACGAACACAAUGACGGUACCUGCGGAAGAAGCCCCGGCUAACUCCGUGCCAGCAGCCGCGGUAAUACGGGGGGGGCAAGCGUUGUUCGGAAUUACUGGGCGUAAAGGGCGCGUAGGCGGUUGGAUAAGUUGGUGGUGAAAACCUCGAGCUUAACUCGGGGCCUGCCAUCAAUACUGUCCGGCUGGAGUGUGGGAGAGGAGAGUGGAAUUCCCGGUGUAGCGGUGAAAUGCGUAGAUAUCGGGAGG